UGGGGAAUAUUGGGGCAAUGGGGGCGAAAGCCUGACCCAGCAACGCCGCGUGAAGGAAGAAGGUUUUCGGAUUGUAAACUUCUUUUAUCAGGGACGAAGAAAGUGACGGUACCUGAUGAAUAAGCCACGGCUAACUACGUGCCAGCAGCCGCGGUAAUACGUAGGUGGCAAGCGUUAUCCGGAUUUACUGGGUGUAAAGGGCGCGUAGGCGGGGAUGCAAGUCAGAUGUGAAAUCUAUGGGCCUAACCCAUAAACUGCAUUUGAAACUGUUGAUCUUGAGUGAAGUAGAGGUAAGCGGAAUUCCUGGUGUAGCGGUGAAAUGCGUAGAGAUCAGGAGGAACAUCGGUGGCGAAGGCGGCUUACUGGGCUUUAACUGACGCUGAGGCUCGAAAGCGUGGGGAGCAAACAGGAUUAGAUACCCUGGUAGU
rnacentral:rRNA from 1 species